rnacentral:rRNA from 1 species
UACGGGAGGCAGCAGGGGGGAAUUUUGGACAAUGGGCGAAAGCCUGAUCCAGCAAUGCCGCGUGCAGGAUGAAGGCCUUCGGGUUGUAAACUGCUUUUGUACGGAACGAAAAGUCUCGGGAUAAUACCCUGGGACCAUGACGGUACCGUAAGAAUAAGCACCGGCUAACUACGUGCCAGCAGCCGCGGUAAUACGUAGGGUGCAAGCGUUAAUCGGAAUUACUGGGCGUAAAGCGUGCGCAGGCGGUUAUAUAAGACAGAUGUGAAAUCCCCGGGCUCAACCUGGGAACUGCAUUUGUGACUGUAUAGCUAGAGUACGGUAGAGGGGGAUGGAAUUCCGCGUGUAGCAGUGAAAUGCGUAGAUAUGCGGAGGAACACCGAUGGCGAAGGCAAUCCCCUGGACCUGUACUGACGCUCAUGCACGAAAGCGUGGGGAGCAAACAGGAUUAGAUACCCUGGUAGUCCACGCCCUAAACGAUGUCAACUGGUUGUUGGGUCUUCACUGACUCAGUAACGAAGCUAACGCGUGAAUUGACCGCCUGGGGAGUACG